rnacentral:rRNA from 1 species
ACCAGGUCAGGACACGGUAAGGAUUGACGGACUGAAGGCUCUUUCUCGAUUCCGUGGAAAGUGGUGCAUGGCCGUUUUUGGUUGGUGGAUCGAUCCGUCUGGUUAAUUCCGUUAACGAACGAGACCUCGGCACUCCGAAUAGCGCGGCGGACGUCGCGGCCUCCGGGCCGUCUUCCGCACGAGCUUCUUAGAGGGACCGUCCCCCCGCCGGGGAAGGAGGUGCGAGGCAACGACAGGUCUGUGAUGCCCUUAGAUGUUCUGGGCCGCACGCGCAUUACACUGACGCGUCCAACGGGUGACUCCCGACCCGAAGGGGCCGGGGAAUCCGCAAGGCGCGUCGUGAUGGGGAUUGAACGUUGCAAUUGUUGUUCACGAACGAGGAAUUCCUAGUAGGCGCGGGGUCAUCAACCCGCGCCGAUUACGUCCCCUGCCCUUUGUACACACCGCC